AGAUAAGAACUCCGAGCUUGAGGCCAACUUUUCCAGUUGUUGAACCUGCUCAUCUGACUUGGUAGGUGAAGAUUUGGGUGACAAAGACAUGGGCUGACAGGAUGAAUUUCUCCAGUGCUUUAGGGUGAGGGUGCCAUGAAUUAACAGCUGCUUCCCUAAAGGCAUUGAGGAACUUGAUAGCAUCAUGCUCAGUCAGAUGGUGGAAGAGGCGACGGAGGAAGGCGAUAAGGCCAUAGAGGGAGCAGCACUCUAUUCGCAUAAGGGCAUUGGUGCAUAUCAUGUCCACCUCAAAGUCAAGCGCAUACUCAUGCUGCGUGGAGAUUACAGAGUCAUACCAGAUGGUGUUGAAAAUGAUGUUGGAAAUGAACU